UACGUAGGGACCGAGCGUUGUCCGGAAUCAUUGGGCGUAAAGAGCGUGUAGGCGGCCCCUUAAGUCCUGCGUGAAAUCCUGCGGCUCAACCGCAGACGGUCGUGGGAAACUGGAGGGCUAGAGUGCGGGAGAGGCGAGUGGAAUUCCUGGUGUAGCGGUGAAAUGCGCAGAUAUCAGGAGGAACACCUAUUGCGAAGGCAGCUCGCUGGGACGUAACUGACGCUGAGACGCGAAAGCGUGGGGAGCAAACAGG
rnacentral:rRNA from 1 species